GGCUGUAGCUCAAUUGGUAGAGCACCGGUCUCCAAAACCGGCGGUUGGGGGUUCAAGUCCCUUCGGCC
rnacentral:tRNA from 1 species